rnacentral:tRNA from 1 species
GCCCGCGUUGUCUAAUGGCUAUGACGUCAGACUUCUAAUCUGGAGGUUGCGGGUUCGAGUCCCGCCGUGGGUU